rnacentral:rRNA from 1 species
CCUACGGGUGGCAGCAGUGGGGAAUCUUCCGCAAUGGGCGAAAGCCUGACGGAGCAAUGCCGCGUGAGUGAAGAAGGCCUUCGGGUUGUAAAACUCUGUCCUUAUCGAAGAGAGAGUGUUGUAGUAACUGACAAUACUAGGACGGUAGAUGAGGAGGAAGCCCCGGCUAACUAUGUGCCAGCAGCCGCGGUAAAACAUAGGGGGCAAGCGUUGUCCGGAAUCACUGGGCGUAAAGGGCGCGCAGGCGGUAAAUUAAGUCAGGUGUGAAAGUUCGGGGCUCAACCCCGUGAUUGCACCUGAUACUGAUAAACUAGAGUGUUGGAGAGGUAAGUGGAAUUCCUAGUGUAGCGGUGGAAUGCGUAGAUAUUAGGAGGAACACCAGUGGCGAAGGCGACUUACUGGCCAAUAACUGACGCUGAGGCGCGAAAGCGUGGGGAGCAAACAGGAUUAGAUACCCCAGUAGUC